UACGGAGGGUCCAAGCGUUAUCCGGAUUUAUUGGGUUUAAAGGGUGCGCAGGCGGAACUUUAAGUCAGUGGUGAAAUCUUGCCGCUUAACGGUAAAAUUGCCAUUGAUACUGAAGUUCUUGAAUGUAGUUGAGGUAGGCGGAAUGUGUUGUGUAGCGGUGAAAUGCAUAGAUAUGACACAGAACGCCAAUUGCGAAGGCAGCUUACUAAGCUACUAUUGACGCUGAGGCACGAAAGCGUGGGGAGCGAACAGG
rnacentral:rRNA from 1 species